rnacentral:ncRNA from 1 species
CGCCGUGAACUGAGGGGUCCUGUCUCCCCCUUCAGAUCCGGUUGCGGGCCAUUCUGCCCGCCGACAUCAUAAGUGAGAAGGAG